rnacentral:rRNA from 1 species
AUUGAACGCUGGCGGCAUGCUUUACACAUGCAAGUCGAACGGUAACAGGCCGCAAGGUGCUGACGAGUGGCGAACGGGUGAGUAAUGCAUCGGAACGUGCCCAGUCGUGGGGGAUAACGCAGCGAAAGCUGCGCUAAUACCGCAUACGAUCUAUGGAUGAAAGCGGGGGACCGUAAGGCCUCGCGCGAUUGGAGCGGCCGAUGUCAGAUUAGGUAGUUGGUGGGGUAAAGGCUCACCAAGCCAACGAUCUGUAGCUGGUCUGAGAGGACGACCAGCCACACUGGGACUGAGACACGGCCGAGACGCCUACGGGAGGCAGCAGUGGGGAAUUUUGGACAAUGGGCGCAAGCCUGAUGCAGCAAUGCCGCGUGCAGGAAGAAGGCCUUCGGGUUGUAAACUGCUUUUGUACGGAACGAAAAGGCUCUGGUUAAUACCUGGGGCUCAUGACGGUACCGUAAGAAUAAGCACCGGCUAACUACGUGUCAGCCGCCGCAGUAA